rnacentral:misc_RNA from 1 species
AUUCUCAGCAGCUUCUUUUCGCUCAGCACCGGUCUUAAACUCAGCCAAGUAACGAUGAUAAUCUCCCUUCAUUUUCAAGUAAAACACCUUAGAGUCACCGGUAGCAGCAGAGCCAAUGAGCUUAGAAUCAAGCAGCUUAAGAAUUCCAUUACAGAUCGAGGUAAGUUCAGACUCGAUCUUAGAUCUGUAUUCCUUAAUAGAAGCAACAUGAUCUUCGUUACCACGGCUCUCCUCUUUCUGCUCAAUGGAGGAAAUG